AAUCAACGCUGGCGGCGUGCCUAACACAUGCAAGUCGAGCGCGAAAGGGGGGCAACCCCGAGUAGAGCGGCGAACGGGUGAGUAACGCGUGGGUGAUUUGCCUCCGAGUGGGGAACAACACCGGCAAACUGGUGCUAAUACCGCAUGACAUCCUCGGGUCGUACUGGGGAUCAAAGCUGGGGACCGCAAGGCCUAGCGCUUGGAGAGAAGCCCGCGUCCGAUUAGCUAGUUGGUGGGGAAUGGCCUACCAAGGCGACGAUCGGUAGCCGGCCUGAGAGGGCGGACGGCCACACUGGGACUGAGACACGGCCCAGACUCCUACGGGAGGCAGCAGUGGGGAAUUUUUCGCAAUGGGGGAAACCCUGACGAAGCAACGCCGCGUGGAGGAUGAAGGCCUCGGUCGUAAC
rnacentral:rRNA from 1 species